GGUCGGGUUCCCGUGGGGCGGUGGAGCAGCCGCGGGCCGCCGCGGGCCGUGACCCCGGGGUCUGGGCGGCAGGUUUGCGCAAGAUGUGCCGGGGCUGCGCGCCAGAGGAGCGGCGGCCGCGCUGAGCCAGGUCGGAGGACAGAGCCAAACUUGAGGAGGCAUUCAGUUAAAGUAUGAAAGGAAGAAAGAAGGAAAGAGAGAGAGAGAGAGAGAGAGAGAGAAAUAAAAAGAGAGAAGAAAGAAAGAAAGAAAGAAAGAAAGAAAGAAAGAAAGAAAGAAAGAAAGAAAGAAAAAAGAGAAGAGAAGAGAAGAGAAGAGAAGAGAAGAGAAGAGAAGAGAAGAGAAGAGAAAAAGAAAGAAAAGAAAAGGCUUGAUGUGUACUCCUAGCACUUGGCCCAGGUCCUCAGUGAGUGAGCCCCUAACAGCACAGGGAAUCAACUCUGCUCAGGGCCUGUGAGGUUGCCCUUACUCCACCUCAGCUGCACACAGAGAAGACACCAGCAGAGCCAUGAGCCACCAGAUCCUGCUGCUUCUGGCCCUGCUGACCCUGGGCCUGGCCACCUCCCAACGAGACAAGGUGCCCUGUAAGAUGGUAGACAAGGAGGUCUUGUGCCAGGGUCUUGGCCUGCUCCAGGUCCCCUCGAUGCUCCCGCUGGACAUCGAGGCCCUCGACCUAUCUGGGAACCAGCUGCAGAGCAUCCUGGCCUCACCCCUGGGCUUCUACACAGCACUUCGACGCCUGGACCUGAGCACCAAUGAGAUCAGCUUCAUCUACACCGGGGUCUUCCAGGCCCUGCCCCACCUGGAGCACCUCAACCUGGCCCACAACAACCUGGCAGUGGGCACCAUGCUGAACGCCCCCAGCCUGGGCCCCCUGCCUCAUGUGACAUCUCUGGACCUGUCCGGGAACAGCCUGUACAGUGGCCUGGUGGAGCAGCUGCUCGGGGAGGCGCCCGCCCUGCGCACCCUCUCGCUGGCCGAGAACAGCCUGACUCGCCUGGCCCGCCACACGUUCCGGGGCACGCCCGCGCUGGAGCGGCUCGACCUCCACAGCAACGUGCUCAUGGACAUCGAGGACGGUGCUUUCGAGGCCCUACCCCACCUGGCCCACCUGAAUCUGUCCAGGAAUUCCCUCACCUGCAUCUCCGACUUCAGUCUCCAGCAGCUGCGGGUACUGGACCUGAGCUGCAACAGCAUCGAGGCCUUUCAGGUGGCCCCAGAGCCCCAGGCUGAGUACCAGCUGGCCUGGCUCGACCUGCGGGAGAACAGACUGCUCCGCUUCCCGGACUUGGCUGCGCUCCCUCGACUCAUCUACCUGAACAUGUCCAACAACCUCAUCCGGCUCCCUGCAGGGCCAUCCCAGGGGGGCGAGGGCAUCCACGCGCCUUCAGAGGGCUGGUCGGCCUUGCCCUUCUCCCACCCCAGCCGCAACGCCAGCACCCACCCCCUCUCCCAGCUCUUGAACCUGGAUUUGAGCUACAAUGAGAUUGAGCUGGUCCCUGAGGGCUUUCUCGAGCACCUGACCUCCCUUCGCUUCCUGAAUCUCAGCCGGAACUGUUUGCGAGCCUUCCAGGUGCAGCGCGCGGGCUUCCUGCCUUGCCUUGUGUACCUGGACAUCGGCCACAACGCGCUGGAGACGCUAGAGCUGGGCUCCAGGGCCCUGGGGUCUCUGCGGACGCUCCUCCUCCAGGACAAUGCCCUGCGGGACCUGCCCCCCUACACUUUUGGUGGCCUGGCCAAUCUGCAGAGGCUUAACCUUCAGGGAAACCGGGUCAGGCCUUGUGGGGGGCCAGGUGAGCCCAGCCCCUCAGGAUGUGUGGCCUUCUCUGGCAUCUCCUCCCUCCGAGUCCUGAACCUGGUGGACAAUGAGAUGGAGAUGCUCCGGGCGGGUGCCUUCCUCCACACGCCACUUACCGAGCUGGACCUUUCUGCAAACCCAGGGCUGGAUGUGGUCACGGGGGCCUUGGCGGGCCUGGAGGCCUCCUUGGAGGUCCUGGCCCUGCAGGGCAAUGGGCUAGCCAUCCUGCAAGUAGACCUGCCCUGCUUCAGCUGCCUUAAGCAGCUCAAUCUUGCCGAGAACCGCCUGAGCCACCUGCCUGCCUGGACACAGGCCGUGUCCUUGGAGGUACUGGACCUGCGGAACAACAGUUUCAGCCUGCUGCCGGGCAGCGCCAUGGGCGGCCUGGAGACCAGCCUCCGGCGCCUCUACCUGCAGGGGAAUCCACUGAGCUGCUGUGGCAAUGCCUGGCUGGCUGCCCAGCUGCACCAGGGCCGUGUGGACGUGGAUGCCACCCAGGACCUGACCUGCCGCUUUGGCUCCCAGGAGGAGGUAUCCCUGAGCCACGUGCGUCCUGAGGACUGUGAGAAAGGGGGACUCAAGAAUGUCAACCUCAUUAUCAUCCUCACUUUUGCACUGGUCUCUGCCAUCCUCCUCACCACACUGGCCACUUGUUGCUGCGUCCGUCGGCAGAAGUUCAACCAACAGUACAAAGCUUAGGGAAGCCAGGAGCUGCGGGACAGCUCAGCCUGGAGACCUCCCAGGUCAGCUGGGGUGCCGGAGGCACGGACAAGGGUGGGGACUGACCCAAGGUCACACAGUGAGCCAGAGUCUGAGAACUCUGGUCUCUAACUCCCCGCCCAGGGCUCCUUCCCUUAUGUCGUGCUGUACUGGUAGGCAACCCACUUCCCAGGCCACACAUGUGGUCCAGCUGUGGCAGCCGGAAGUCAGGCAGUUUCAGGAGUGACAGAGAAUAAGGUUGACAGAUCUGACCGACACAUGUUUGCCAAGCAUGUUUUGUGCCACAUCCUGCUCUGGGCACUGGGGACGCUGGUGAAUGAGACAUAUCCCUGCCCUCGAGUGUCCCCCAGUCCUGGUGGGGAGGUGGUCCCAAAGCCAUGCAGUGACCACGCCGAGUGUGGAAGUUCCAGGGCUGCUGAGUUAUGGAGAGUCCUGCCCCGGUGGGGCCGGAGCACAGGAGGGACAAGACCAACAAGACUGGUCUGAGACGUUUCCAAGCAGACUGUUUGUCACAUCUUCCAAUAAUGACUUUCAGCUUCUUUGGAACAUGUAGAGCUUGUGACCGGAAGAGAACUGGAGCCACAUGAGUACAUCUUGGAUUCAGCUCUGAGGCCACAGCGGCUCCAGCAGAGCCUGAUUAAGAGGCUGUUGCCCGGGUUCUGGCCCUGUGCUGGACCAUUCCAUUUCCUGCUCCCGACAGGCUCUUUCCCUGCCUAGCAUGCUGGGGUUGCACACAAUUGCCCUAGCCCCCCAGCUCCCUACGCAGGCCCCUUGUUCAUCCCCAGCCCCACCCCGGCUGAUGAGCCAGGAGUCAGAACCCAAGCGAUCCGGUUCUGUUCUGCACCAGGCUUGUUGGCAGCUGGAACAUUGGCAGCCUCUUUCGGACAGCCCUCUGAGAGACACAAAGAGAGAGACAGAGACACAGGCAGAGGGAGAAGCAGGACUCCAUGCGGGGAGCCCAACAUGGGACUGGAUCCCGGGUCUCCAGGAUCACACCGUGGGCUGAAGGAGGUGCUAAACCACUGAGCCACCCGGGCUGCCCCUGCAUCUUGCUUUUUUAAUUGAACAAUACUUCAAGGAAAUCCUCCCCUCUAAUUCAUUUUUGACGGUACAUAAUAUUCCAUAGUGUGAAUAUUCCAUAAUUUAUUCAGCUGUUUACCACUUAAUGGAACAUUCACUUUUUAAUCUUUUUUUUUUUUCAACUAUAAACAUGCUGCAAAAACAUCCUUGUUCAUAUGCCCAUAUCUCUGGGAGUUGUAUUUGUCAGAUAAGUUCUUACAGGUAAAAUUCUAGAUCAAUGGAUAGAUAUUAUAUAUAUGAUGUAUAUGAUUUUAAUAAAUCUUACUUUUUAAAAAGAGUCCUGUUUCACCCUUCCAUAAACAACUUAUGAGAGUAUCUUUUCUGCACUUCCCUGCCAGAAUGCGGGUGAUAUAAAGAGAGACGUCUAGAGAGUCGUCUCUCAUUGUUAUUAUUUUUUUUAAAGAUUUAUUUUUAUUUAUUUGAGACAGAGAGAGAGAGAACAGGAGCACCAUGGGAGAGGGAGAAGCAGACUCCCUGCUGAGCUCAGAGAGCCCAACUUGGGGCUUGAUCCCAGGAGAUCCUGGCCUGAGCCCAAGGCAGCCAGCCACCCAGGCACCCCCACCCAGGCGGCCCUCUCAUUGUUACAUUAAAUCACAUUUCUCUACUGCUGGAUCUGAGCAGCUUUUCGUUUCCUUGUUUGCCAUUUGGAUGGGUUCUUCCAUGAAACAUCCAUUUUUAUCCUUUGCCCAUUUUUCUGUUAUCUUUUCCUUGUCGAUUUGUAAACCUCAUUGUACACUGUAGUUAUUCAACUUUAUCUAGCACUUUUAUAACAAAUGUUUUCCAAAGCUCUCCUUUGUCUGUUGACUGUGAUUGUGUAUCUUUGCCCCACAAUGCUUUUCGGCCUCACUUCUCCUUUGUAGCUUGAUUCAAUUGUUUCACUCAGAUUGUUCGUAUAGUCUUCUAAAUUUUUUUUCUUCUUUUAUUUUUUUUACACUUAGAUCUUUAAAUAAUCUGAAAUGGAUUUUUGAUUAUGCAGUUGGGUAAUUGGUCAAAUUUUGCUUCCAGAUGAAGAGUGAUUGUGCCAGCAUCAUUUACUAAAUAAUCAAAGGUUACUCUAUCAAAUAUUAAAUUCUGAUAUAUGUUUCGUGUCUAUUUCUGGAUUUCCUCCUCUGUAUAUUUCACUGAUCUAGAUCUAUUCCUCUAUUAGUGCUCUAGUGAUUGAUUUUAGAGUUUGUUCUGAGAUGUAUAAGGUAAGUCCUCCUGCAUUGCUAUUAUCAUCCAUAAAUUUUUGGCUAUUUUCAGGCAUUAAUUCUUCCAAAUAAACAUUUCAUGCUGUUUGGAAUUGAUCUGGGGAGUUUUGACAUUUCUGGGAUAUCAAAGCUUCCCAUCCAAGACUAUGGUAUGUCUCUCUAUUUGUUCAGAACUUGUUUUCAAUCCUUCGACAAGCUUUUUUCAUGUUAGCCCUGUGCCUUUCUUGUUUAAUCUAUUCCUAACUAUUUUGUGCUUUUUGGCAAUAUUGUCAAUGGAAUAUUUUUCUAUUUCCAUUUUUAUGUGUUUGUUUUCAAAACAGAGAAAAGUGGUUUUUAAUAUUUACCUUGCACCCAAUAGCCUUAUC